rnacentral:rRNA from 1 species
AGAGUGUUCUGUAUGCGAUGAAGCUUAAGGGGUAACCCGUGGUGGAGCGUACAGAAGUAAGAAUGCCGGUACAAGUAACCACAAUGCGGGUGAGAACCCCGCACGUCGAAAGAUCAAGGUUUCCUCAGCUAUGGUGAUCAACUGAGGGUUAGUCGGGCCUAAGGGGAUGGCGAAAGCCGCACCCGAUGGACACACGGUCAAUAUUCCGUGACCGUUUUGAAAGGCUAUGGAGGGACGGAUCGUUGUAUGCGCUGCCGGUUAUUGGAUUCCGGUCGGCUUUGUGAGGGCGCGCGUUAGGUAAAUCCGGCGCGCAUUACCCCAAGCAACGUCGCAAUUUCCUUCUACGGAGGGUAGAGAGAGUGCAAAGCACGAUUCCAAGAAAAGCUUCUAAGCAUUAACUUUUGAGACGCCCGUACCGCAAACCGACACAGGUGAUCAGGUCGAGAAGACCAAGACGAACGAGUAAGAGGUCCUCAAGGAACUCGGCAAAUAAGCGGCCGUAACUUCGGGAUAAGGCCUGCCGCUCUACAGCAAUGUGGGGCGGCCGCAGUGAAAGUUUUCCCUUCAACUGUUUACCAAAAACACAGCUCCCUGCAAACUCGUAAGAGGAAGUAUAGGGGGUGACAUCUGACCAAUGCCGGAAGGUUAAUCACGGUUGGUACAUUACUUCGGUGAUGUGCUGGACUGUGCAAGCCCCGGUGAAUGUCGGCGAUAACUAUAAUCGUCCUAAGGUAGCGUAAUUCCUUGUCGGGUAAGUUCCGACGUGCACGAAUGAUGUAAUGAGAGGGAAACUGUCUCGAGGACUCGCUCGGUGAAAAUGCAAUUCCGGUGAAGAUGCCGGAUACCUACAGUUAGACGAAAAGACCCCAGGAGCUUUACUAUAGCUUCGUAUUGGCACUACGGUCUGCAUGCGUAGCAUAGGUGGGAGGAUUUGAAGCAUCGGUUUUGGCUGGUGUGGAUCCGUCUGUGAAAUACCACUCUUGCAGUUUGUAGUGUCUAACCCCGUUGGGAACCCACGGGGGCCCGUGCGUGGCAGGUAGUUUUAGCGGGGCGCUAUCCUCCAAAAAAGUAACGGAGGAGUCUAUUAAGGUUCUCUAGGCGCGAAUGGAAACCGUGCCGAUAGUGUAAUGGCAUAAGAGAGCUUAACUGCGAGGGGUACGUCCCAAGCAGAUGCGAAAGCAGAGCAUAGUGAACCGAUGGUCCGCCUUAGAUGCGGCCAGAGAUUAACGGAUAUAAGUUACCCUGGGGAUAACAGGCUAGUUCCGCCCAAGCGUCCAUAGCGACGGCGGAGUUCGGCACCUCGAUGUCGGCUCACCUUAGCGCGGGGCUGGAGAAGGUCCCAAGCGUUUGGCUGUUCGCCAAUUAAAAAGGUACGCGAGCUGGGUUCAAACCGUUCAGCAUCUCAUUCGAGAUGGCUCGAAUGGGAAAUUGAACGGUUUGAACCCCGAGGCAAAUGUUAGCUACGUGGAGACGUAGUGUGCGUAAACGACAACUCACGGCGGCCGCAUGCAGGAAUUUAUGGGGUAGCAAAUCAACUUAUAUUGGGGGAACCCGGAAAGUGAGGGGGGAAACCACAGGGAAGUGGACGGUUAU